rnacentral:rRNA from 1 species
AGCAGCCGCGGUAAUUCCAGCUCCAAUAGCGUAUAUUAAAGUUGCUGCAGUUAAAAGCUCGUAGUUGAAUUUCGGGAUCAAUAUGUCGGUCGUGCCUCGGUACGCACUGGCUUAUUGGUUUCUCCCUUCUGACGAACCAUGAUGUCAUUAAUUUGGUGUCUUGGGAAAUCAGGACUGUUACUUUGAAAAAUUGAGUGUUUAAAGCAGGCUCACGCUUGAAUAUAUUAGCAUGGAAUAAUGAAAUAGGACGUUUGAUUCUAUUUUGUUGGUUUCUAGGAUCGACGUAAUGAUUAAUAGGGAUAGUUGGGGGCAUUAGUAUUCAAUUGUCAGAGGUGAAAUUCUUGGAUUUAUUGAAGACUAACUACUGCGAAAGCAUUUGCCAAGGAUGUUUUCAUUAAUCAAGAACGAAAGUUAGGGGAUCGAAGACGAUC